ACGAACGCUGGCGGCUGCUUAACACAUGCAAGUCGAACGGAGUGGCGAACGGGUGAGUAAAGCGUGAGCAACCUGCCUAUGACAGUGGGAUAGCCUCGGGAAACCGGGAUUAAUACCGAAUAGUCAUAGAUGGGCUCGCGUCUGAUUAGCUAGUUGGUGAGAUAACAGCCCACCAAGGCGACGAUAAGUAGCCGGUAGGGUAGACUGAACGGCCACAUUGGAACGGGGACACAGUCCAAACUCCGACGGAAGGCAGCAGUGGGGAAUAUUGCACAAUGGGGGAAACCCUGAUGCAGCGACGCCGCGUGAACGAAGAAGGUAUUCGUAUCGUAAAGUUCUGGCCUAUGGGAAGCAGUACCAUAGAAGAAAGCUCCGGCUAAAUACGUGCCAGCCGCCGCGGUAAUAC
rnacentral:rRNA from 1 species